CCUACGGGCGGCAGCAGUGGGGAAUAUUGCGCAAUGGGGGAAACCCUGACGCAGCAACGCCGCGUGAGUGAAGAAGUAUCUCGGUAUGUAAAGCUCUAUCAGCGGGGAAGAAGGAAGACGGUACCCGACUCCGCAGCCCCGGCUAACUACGUGCCAGCAGCCGCGGUAAUCCGUAGGGGGCGAGCGUUAUCCGGAUUUACUGGGUGUAAGGGGAGCGUAGACGGCGUCGCAAGUCUGAAGUGAAAGCCCGGGGCUCAACCGCGGAACCGCUUUGGAAACUGCGAGGCUGGAGUGCGGGAGAGGUAAGCGGAAUUCCUGGUGUAGCGGUGAAAUGCGUAGAUAUCAGGAGGAACAUCGGUGGCGAAGGCGGCUUACUGGACAGUGACUGACGUUGAGGCUCGAAAGCGUGGGGAGCGAACAGGAUUAGAUACCCCGGUAGUC
rnacentral:rRNA from 1 species